rnacentral:rRNA from 1 species
AGCGCAGGCGGGCGAUCAAGUUGGAAGUGAAAUCCAUGGGCUCAACCCAUGAACUGCUUUCAAAACUGGCCGUCUUGAGUAGUGCAGAGGUAGGCGGAAUUCCCGGUGUAGCGGUGGAAUGCGUAGAUAUCGGGAGGAACACCAGUGGCGAAGGCGGCCUAUUGGGCACCAACUGACGCUGAGGCUCGAAAGUGUGGUAGCAAACA